rnacentral:rRNA from 1 species
GACGAACGCUGGCGGCGUGCCUAACACAUGCAAGUCGAACGGGGUAGUUCCUUCGGGGACUACUUAGUGGCGAACGGGUGAGUAACGCGUGAGAAACCUGCCUUUCAGUGGGGGACAACAGUUGGAAACGACUGCUAAUACCGCAUAAUGUUUCGAGAGGGCAUCCUUUUGAAACCAAAGCUUUAUGUGCUGAAAGAUGGUCUCGCGUCUGAUUAGCUAGUUGGUGAGGUAACGGCUCACCAAGGCGACGAUCAGUAGCCGGUCUGAGAGGAUGAACGGCCACAUUGGGACUGAGAUACGGCCCAGACUCCUACGGGAGGCAGCAGUGGGGAAUAUUGGGCAAUGGGGGAAACCCUGACCCAGCAACGCCGCGUGAAGGAAGAAGGCCUUCGGGUUGGUAAACUUCUUUACCUAGGACGAAGAACGUGACGGUACCGUGGAGAAAAAGACAACGGCUAACUACGUG